rnacentral:rRNA from 1 species
UACGUAGGGUGCGAGCGUUGUCCGGAAUUAUUGGGCGUAAAGAGCUUGUAGGCGGUUUGUCGCGUCUGCUGUGAAAAUCCGGGGCUCAACCCCGGACUUGCAGUGGGUACGGGCAGACUAGAGUGUGGUAGGGGAGACUGGAAUUCCUGGUGUAGCGGUGAAAUGCGCAGAUAUCAGGAGGAACACCGAUGGCGAAGGCAGGUCUCUGGGCCACUACUGACGCUGAGAAGCGAAGCAUGGGGAGCGAACAGG